AAAUUGAAGAGUUUGAUCAUGGCUCAGAUUGAACGCUGGCGGCAGGCCUAACACAUGCAAGUCGAACGGUAACAGGAAUCAGCUUGCUGAUUCGCUGACGAGUGGCGGACGGGUGAGUAAUGUCUGGGAAACUGCCUGAUGGAGGGGGAUAACUACUGGAAACGGUAGCUAAUACCGCAUAAUGUCGCAAGACCAAAGAGGGGGACCUUCGGGCCUCUUACCAUCGGAUGUGCCCAGAUGGGAUUAGCUAGUAGGUGGGGUAACGGCUCACCUAGGCGACGAUCCCUAGCUGGUCUGAGAGGAUGACCAGCCACACUGGAACUGAGACACGGUCCAGACUCCUACGGGAGGCAGCAGUGGGGAAUAUUGCACAAUGGGCGCAAGCCUGAUGCAGCCAUGCCGCGUGUAUGAAGAAGGCCUUCGGGUUGUAAAGUACUUUCAGCGGGGAGGAAGGGAGUAAAGUUAAUACCUUU
rnacentral:rRNA from 1 species